rnacentral:rRNA from 1 species
UACGUAGGGGGCUAGCGUUGUCCGGAAUCAUUGGGCGUAAAGCGCGUGUAGGCGGUCCGGUAAGUCCGCUGUGAAAGUCGGGGGCUCAACCCUCGGAUGCCGGUGGAUACUGUCGGGCUUGAGUACGGAAGAGGCGAGUGGAAUUCCUGGUGUAGCGGUGAAAUGCGCAGAUAUCAGGAGGAAUACCUAUGGCGAAAGCAGGUAUCUGGGCCAUCACUGACGCUGAGCUGCGAAAGCUAGGGGAGCAAACAGG